ensembl:snRNA U6 U6 spliceosomal RNA
GUGCUUGUUUUGGCAGCAAGUAUAUUAAAAUUAGAAUGAAAUAGGAAAAAAAUUAGCGUGGUACCUAUGCAAGGAUGACAUGCAAAUUCAUGAAGCAUUACAUACUUUC